rnacentral:tRNA from 1 species
GGAGAGAUGGCCGAGUAGGCUGAAGGCGCUCGCCUGCUAAGCGAGUAUGCGGGGUAAACCUGCAUCGAGGGUUCGAAUCCCUCUCUCUCCGCCA